GAUGAACGCUGGCGGCGUGCUUAACACAUGCAAGUCGAACGAAGCACUUGAGAUUGAUUCUUCGGAAGAUUUCUCUUGUGACUUAGUGGCGGACGGGUGAGUAACGCGUGGGUAACCUGCCUCACACAGGGGGAUAACAGUUGGAAACGACCGCUAAUACCGCAUAACCCGCUAGGGCCGCAUGGCCCGGACGGAAAAGAUUUAUCGGUGUGAGAUGGACCCGCGUUGGAUUAGCUAGUUGGCGGGGUAACGGCCUACCAAGGCGACGAUCCAUAGCCGGCCUGAGAGGGUGAACGGCCACAUUGGGACUGAGACACGGCCCAAACUCCUACGGGAGGCAGCAGUGGGGAAUAUUGCACAAUGGGGGAAACCCUGAUGCAGCGACGCCGCGUGAGUGAAGAAGUAUUUCGGUAUGUAAAGCUCUAUCAGCAGGGAAGAAAAUGACG
rnacentral:rRNA from 1 species